AUUGAACGCUGGCGGCAUGCCUUACACAUGCAAGUCGAACGGUAACAGGUCUUCGGAUGCUGACGAGUGGCGAACGGGUGAGUAAUACAUCGGAACGUGCCUAGUAGUGGGGGAUAACUACUCGAAAGAGUGGCUAAUACCGCAUGAGAUCUACGGAUGAAAGCAGGGGAUCGCAAGACAGUGUGCUACCAGAGCGGCCGAUGGCAGAUUAGGUAGUUGGUGGGAUAAAAGCUUACCAAGCCGACGAUCUGUAGCUGGUCUGAGAGGACGAUCAGCCACACUGGGCCUGAGACCCGGCCCAGACUCCCACGGGAGGCAGCAGUGGGGAAUUUUGGACAAUGGGCGCAAGCCUGAUCCAGCAAUGCCGCGUGCAGGAUGAAGGCCUUCGGGUUGUAAACUGCUUUUGUACGGAACGAAAAGCCCUGGGUUAAUACCCUGGGGUCAUGACGGUACCGUAAGAAUAAGCACCGGCUAACUACGUGCCAGCCGCCGCGGUAACAC
rnacentral:rRNA from 1 species